rnacentral:lncRNA from 1 species
UCGACCUGAAGGCUCAGGCACGAACAAGGGAAAAGAAAAGCUGUUCGAAUGAGAAUUAGUAUGAGUUAAUGGUUAUAGUUAGUAAGACAAUGGAAUCUAUUGUCAGGUAUUGUAAGGAAUGUAUUUUGAAGGUCACGUACCUGGGAAAGUAAACUUUGAUGUAUGUAAAUUAAGUUCGAAUUAUAUUAUUAUUAUUAUUAUUUAGUAUUAUUCAGCUUAAAGAAAUGGUAUCGUGGAGAACCGAGUUCGGGUUUCAAGUAUCCGGAUUUGGGGUCGCCACA